rnacentral:rRNA from 1 species
UACGUAGGGUGCAAGCGUUAAUCGGAAUUACUGGGCGUAAAGCGUGCGCAGGCGGUUGGGUAAGACAGAUGUGAAAUCCCCGGGCUCAACCUGGGAACUGCAUUUGUGACUGCACGGCUCGAGUGCGGCAGAGGGGGAUGGAAUUCCGCGUGUAGCAGUGAAAUGCGUAGAUAUGCGGAGGAACACCGAUGGCGAAGGCAAUCCCCUGGGCCUGCACUGACGCUCAUGCACGAAAGCGUGGGGAGCAAACAGG